CAUCACCUGGCAAACUGAUCCAGCACAGUUUAUCUAAUAACUUUCUAUCUCCAUUUCUAGAGAAAUCAUCAGUGAUAAGAAUUAUCAAGUUGAUUCUGGUGGUUGUGAUGCCAAUUGCUCUACUUCUGUUUUGUCUGAGGAAGAAGAAAACUCUGAGCUCCACUGCUGAACCAAAUGAACAGAUAGAGACUAUAGAGUUGAUGUCUGGUCCUGAUUGUACCAACGCCUCAGCCUUGAACCAAAACUGUAUGUGACUUUCUUCAGAUGGAAUCAAACCAGAGGGGACUCACCUGGAUCGGAACAAAGAAAAGCCACUGAAGUAGUCCAGUGUAGAACGAGGGAAGGUGGAGGAAGUGGAUACAUUUACCUUCAAGGAACGUUUUCAUUUUUAGUUUUUAUUAGCAGCAGCAUAUAUUUUUACCUGUGCAGGUACAUUACAUACGCUCAGUAUUUAACUCAGUAUGUAAAAUAUUAUUUAAAGUUUUAAUGUAAUAAAUAGUUUUUAAGAAAUACUGGUUGCCCUUUCACGUCA